rnacentral:sRNA from 1 species
AGUGCCCCUUCCCAUCCAGAAGGUCUCAGCACACUGAUGAUAGUACCUUGUUAGUGUCGCUGUCAGGGUUGAAUCAAGUGGGCUGUGCUGCUACCCUGCCUCAUUCUUCUGCCUUCACGCCUCGUAAGGUAUCUCUUGUUAUUGUAAUUCACCAGGAAGUUGGGGAGGAAGUGGAUAUAAAGUCUUGAAUUUUUCGGUGAAUUGAUCUAACAAUCUGAAAUAUAGGAUCGCAUAAAUAUACCUGUUGAUGAAACUGUUUAACAUGGAUUUCCCUUGACAUUUUUUGAAAGUUUUAUGAUGCUAGUGAUAGUCAUAGAGCUCACAUUCUUUGUUUUCAGAUUCUGUUUGAUGUGUCAUUCUGAUUUUUUUAUCAAAGGUGUUUUUCUUGUGAGUUAUUAUUUCACUUUGAUUAGUAUAUAAUGUUGAAUUAACUCUGUUGUCUAAUGUGCAUGCAAAAUAAUUUGAGUCCAAAAAAACUGUCACUACCAAAACCUUCUACAGUAGGGGUCAACCAACUAUGGCCCCUAGGCCACUUGUUUUUAUAAAUAAAGCUUUAUUUUUAUAUAGCCAGUCCCUUUUGUUUAUGCAUUGCCUAUGGCUGCUUGCACAGUAAACAGCUGAGGUGGAAUAAUUGUGACCAAGAUCCUAUACCUACAA